UUUCCGGUUGAUCCUGCCGGACCUGACUGCUAUCGGAUUGAUACUAAGCCAUGCGAGUCUUUGCAGUAAUGCAAGGCAUACGGCUCAGUAACACGUAGUCAACUUACCCUAUGGACGAGGAUAAUCUCGGGAAACUGAGCAUAAUACUCGAUAGAUCAUAAUGCCUGGAAUGGUUUAUGGUUGAAAUGAUUCGUCGCCAUAGGAUGGGACUGCGGCCUAUCAGCUUGUUGGUGAGGUAAUGGCCCACCAAGGCGAUUACAGGUACGGGCUCUGAGAGGAGAAGCCCGGAGAUGGGUACUGAGACAAGGACCCAGGCCCUAUGGGGCGCAGCAGGCGAGAAAACUUUGCAAUGUGCGAAAGCACGACAAGGUUAAUCCGAGUGAUUUCUGCUAAAGAAAUCUUUUGCAAGUCAUAAAACCACUAGUGAAUAAGGGGUGGGCAAGUUCUGGUGUCAGCCGCCGCGGUAAAACCAGCACCUCAAGUGGUCAGGAGGAUUAUUGGGCCUAAAGCAUCCGUAGCCGGCUCUGUAAGUUUUCGGUUAAAUCCAUGUGCUCAACGCAUGGGCUGCCGAAAAUACUGCAUAGCUAGGGAGUGGGAGAGGUAGACGGUACUCGGUAGGAAGGGGUAAAAUCCUUUGAUCUAUCGAUGACCACCUGUGGCGAAGGCGGUCUACCAGAACACGUUCGACGGUGAGGGAUGAAAGCUGGGGGAGCAAACCGGAUUAGAUACCCGGGUAGUCCCAGCUGUAAACGAUGCAGACUCGAUGAUGCAUUGGCAUAUAGCCAGUGCAGUGUCGCAGGGAAGCCGUUAAGUCUGCCGCCUGGGAAGUACGUACGCAAGUAUGAAACUUAAAGGAAUUGGCGGGGGAGCACCACAAGGGGUGAAGCCUGCGGUUCAAUUGGAUUCAACGCCGGGA
rnacentral:rRNA from 1 species